rnacentral:rRNA from 1 species
UACGUAGGGUGCAAGCGUUGUCCGGAAUUAUUGGGCGUAAAGAGCUCGUAGGCGGUUUGUCGCGUCUGCUGUGAAAACUCGGGGCUUAACUCCGGGCCUGCAGUGGGUACGGGCAGACUAGAGUGCGGUAGGGGAGACUGGAAUUCCUGGUGUAGCGGUGAAAUGCGCAGAUAUCAGGAGGAACACCGGUGGCGAAGGCGGAUCUCUGGGCCUUACCUGACGCUGAGGCGCGAAAGCUAGGGGAGCGAACAGG